rnacentral:rRNA from 1 species
UGGGGAAUAUUGCACAAUGGGCGAAAGCCUGAUGCAGCGACGCCGCGUGAGCGAAGAAGUAUCUCGGUAUGUAAAGCUCUAUCAGCAGGGAAGAAAAUGACGGUACCUGACUAAGAAGCCCCGGCUAACUACGUGCCAGCAGCCGCGGUAAUACGUAGGGGGCAAGCGUUAUCCGGAUUUACUGGGUGUAAAGGGAGCGUAGACGGAGAGGCAAGUCUGAUGUGAAAACCCGGGGCUCAGCCCCGGGAGUGCAUUGGAAACUGUUUAUCUGGAGUGCCGGAGGGGUAAGUGGAAUUCCUAGUGUAGCGGUGAAAUGCGUAGAUAUUAGGAGGAACACCAGUGGCGAAGGCGGCUUACUGGACGGUAACUGACGUUGAGGCUCGAAAGCGUGGGGAGCAAACAGG